GGCAGCCCCGUCACAUUCAGCGCUGUCCGCUGCAGUUGGUGGUGGCCCAGCCAAUUGCUACAGAAAUACCUACAGCUCAUGGGCCCUGUGUUGUGGGGGCACAGGAUGGUUUGGGUGGGAAGGGACCU